rnacentral:rRNA from 1 species
CCCACUAUGCCCAGCCGUAAACUUUUAAUUACACUCUAAUCGCCUGGGAACUACGAGCAAAGCUUAAAACCCAAAGGACUUGACGGUACCCCACAUCCACCUAGAGGAGCCUGUCCUAUAAUCGAUAAUCCACGUUCAACCUCACCAUUUUUAGCCUAUCAGCCUGUAUACCUCCGUCCUCAGCUUACCUCGUGAGUGAAAUCUAGUAGGCUUAACGCCUCUUACGCCAACACGUCAGGUCAAGGUGCAGCAAAUGAAAUGGGAAGAGAUGGGCUACACUCUCUAGUUUAGAAAACACGAAAGACUAUCUAUGAAACCUAGUCAGAAGGCGGAUUUAGAAGUAAAAAGAAAACAGCAUGUUCUUUUUAACCAGGCACUGGGGUGUGUACACACCGCCCG